rnacentral:rRNA from 1 species
UACAGAGGUCCCGAGCGUUGUUCGGAUUCACUGGGCGUAAAGGGUGCGUAGGUGGCGGGGCAAGUUUGAUGUGAAAGCUCAGGGCUUAACCCUGAAAUGGCAUUGAAUACUGCUUUGCUGGAGGUUUGGAGGGGGGACUGGAAUUCUUGGUGUAGCAGUGAAAUGCGUAGAUAUCAAGAGGAACACCAGUAGCGAAGGCGAGUCCCUGGACAACACCUGACACUGAGGCACGAAAGCUAGGGGAGCAAACAGG